AACUAUAACAGUCGAUGAAGAAAGGGUUACUUGCUAUAUAUCCUAUCGGUU
rnacentral:snRNA from 1 species